UGAGUUUUCAGUUUUAUAAAUGUUCUUUAAUAUGAGGGAUCCCAGGUCAGGUUCGUCUUUCUUGACUGGAAUUUACUAGUUUCCCUCCUGAGAUGGAGAAUUCACAUGGCUUUCUAGAUCCAUUCUGUUCAUGUGCGUUUCAUUUGUUUGUUUGUUUGUUUGUUUGUUUUGAGACAGUCUUGCUCUGUCACCCAGGCUGGAGUGCCAUGGUGAAUGGUGCCGUCUCGGCUCAUUGCAACCUCUGCCUCCCGGGUUAAAGCGAUUCUCCUGUCUCAGCCUCCCGAGUAGCUGGGACUACAGGCGCAUGCCACCACAUCCAGCUAACUUUUGUAUUUUUAGUAGAGACAG
rnacentral:lncRNA from 1 species